GGGACUGAAGUGUUAUCGGUGGCAUGUCCGGUUCUUACCCGGAUGGUCAGGGUUCAAAUCCCUGCGGUCCUAC
rnacentral:tRNA from 1 species